GGUUUUUUGUGGAUUUGCCUUAAACUUGUGUCUGUGAGUGUGGUGCUUCGGCAAGCUCUUGUUCCUCUGUCUCCCUCUUGUGGUUGUUUUUGCUAAUGCUGCUAUGCUGUUUUUCAGCUCUUUUUGCUGGUUAUUGGUUUAGGCUUUUUUUUUUAAUUAGAAGUUUGUCUCCACAGGUAUGCAGUAAAAAAAAUUACUGGCAGGGACCCCUGACACACCCACAACCCAUCCCUACUCACCCUGGCUCCAUUCAUAGCUGUUGCUGUGAAUUAUCCCUUGUGUAUCCCUUGUCUGCCAGGGAACUAACAUCUUGAGCUUUAUUCUUUUUCCAUGAUGACAGUGAGACCAAGUCAAGCAGAAACGCCCCAACAGUUAGUUCAAAGAAUGCCUCCCCCAUAAGCAUUUGUUGAACUUUAACAUCUUGAUAAGCACUAUGGCUGAAGUACAGUAAUUGAAAGGAUCAAGAAAUAUCCAAAAUGCUCAACUACUUCCAUUUUGUAUACAAUUGUGAGCUGUUGUUAUUUGGGGAAUACUAUGAAAACCUUGUAUUUUUUUCAAUUGUGAGUGUCAGAUAACCUACAGAGUAAAACAGCAUGUGGUAGAAAGAGACCGUCUUGCUGCAAUCAGCUUGUUCUAUCUGUGACUGUCAGGUUGUGGGAAAUAUCUUAAACAUUUUUCCAAUCCAAUUGAAUGUUUCUGCAAAUUUGGUCUAAUAGGUUAAGAAUAAUUUACUGUCUUUCCAAGUACUGUGACAAUUUUCUAGCCAAUUUAGUUUCACAUCUCCAACUUAAAAAAUGUUUUAAUUGAAUCGGCUUCUGGUUUAACCUAUUUGACUAUUCUCUAGGGAAAAAUGCAUUUUUUUUUCCAAGUGACUAGUCUCUUUCCAGAUGACAAACUGUUUACGAAGUCCAAUGAGUGAUCUUUCUGUCAUAUAUUUACUGAUUUUAUAACAAACACUCUUUCCUUGUGCUGUUUUAGUUUUCUCUUGAUGAUAAAUUGAAGAAAAAAAAACAUAUGUCUUAAUGAAUUUUUAGUGAGGAGUUUUAAUUAAAAAAAAACAUGAAGCCAAAAUACAAAAUCUCUAUUAAAGUAACUUGUAAUAAUUAUUGUUUCUUCUAAUUCUCUAUAUUUUAUUUUUAUUUAUUUAUUUUUAGACAUUUCAACCAUUUUCAUUGUCGUCCUUAGUAUUUCUUAUUUAACAUCAAAGCUUCAAACAUAAUUAGAUUAGAUAAAGACCUACUUUUUCAAACUACUGAAAUAAAUGUUUCACUUUUUAAACUUAACCAGGUUUUCUAAGAGGUUUAGACUAAGAAGAAAUUAACUUGUGAGACACUUGUAGCCUACACCUCUCUGAUAAGGGAUUUAUAAAACUCACACACAGACUAAAAAUAUAUAUACAUGUAGUUUUUACUUGUAGUUUUAUUUACAUUAUGUUUGCAAAUUAAAAAAAAGGAUUAAACUAACAGUGGAUGGAAAGUUGUUCAUUGUCAAAAAUACAAACUGCAGAUGCUUAAACAUCUUUUUUUGUAAUCGGUAAAUAAAAAUAAAUAAAAAAAGAACU